CCUACGGGAGGCAGCAGUAGGGAAUUUUCCGCAAUGGGCGAAAGCCUGACGGAGCAAUACCGCGUGAGGGAUGACGGCCUGUGGGUUGUAAACCUCUUUUCUCAAGGAAGAAGUUCUGACGGUACUUGAGGAAUAAGCAUCGGCUAACUCUGUGCCAGCAGCCGCGGUAAUACAGAGGAUGCAAGCGUUAUCCGGAAUCACUGGGCAUAAAGCGUCUGUAGGUUGUUUAGUAAGUCUGCUGUUAAAGACUGGGGCUUAACCCCAGAAAAGCAGUGGAAACUGCUAGACUCGAGUGUGGUAGAGGUAGAGGGAAUUCCUAGUGUAGCGGUGAAAUGCGUAGAUAUUAGGAAGAACACCAAUGGCGAAGGCACUCUACUGGGCCAUAACUGACACUGAGAGACGACAGCUAGGGGAGCAAACGGGAUUAGAUACCCCGGUAGUCCUAGCCGUAAACGAUAGGAUACUAGAUGUUGCACGUAUUAACCCGUGCAGUAUCGUAGCGUAGUACGUUAAGUAUCCGCCGUCGGAGUACGCGUCGCGAGAGAGAACGUUAAAUAAGUAAGUUAGUUAGCGUGAGAGUGCCGACGGACGACGACGAGGGAGGAGG
rnacentral:rRNA from 1 species